CCCUUAGAUGUUCUGGGCUGCACGCGCGCUACACUGACGCACGCAACAGGUGCCUGCUCCGAGAGGACUGGGUAAUCAUUUGAGUGUGCGUCGUGAUGGGGAUAGAAUAUUGUAAUUAUUACUCUUCAACGAGGAAUUCCUAGUAAGCGCCAGUCAGCAGCUUGCGCUGAUUACGUCCCUGCCCUUUGUACACACCGCCCGUCGCUCCUACCGAUGGGUGAUCCGGUGAAUGAUUCGGACUGCAGCAGUGUUCAGUUCCUGAACGUUGCAGCGGAAAGUUUAGUGAACCUUAUCACUUAGAGGAAGGAGAAGUCGUAACA
rnacentral:rRNA from 1 species